UUCUUGAAAUUUUAGAUACCUCGCUUCAAGAUCUCCUUUCAUUGUCUUUUUCCCUUCUCUCUGCAAACCUUAAUCACAAUACCAUCUCUUUUAUACACCUCGAUAACUCAUAUAAUCGUUCUAACUUUUUUUUUGUUAAAACCCGCAUUCAUUCCUGAAGAUCGCAAAAUGGCGACCAACAACUAGGGCUUUUAUUUCCCACUUACAUAUAAUCGUGAUUUGCAUUAAGAGUUUCAAAAACACAUCUCUCACAUACGCUUUUCUUCUUCAAUCUCACAUCUAUUUAGGAUUUUGGCAUACCAGAACUCUAUUCAACUCAUCACACACCAGCUAUUAAGGGAAGACGUCAAAGCAUUCAUAGGCUGGAUGUAGCAACAAUCGAAGAUUCGCUUCGCCUCACCUGACCUCUUCCAUUCGACAACCUCAUUGGUCACCUAUCCUCUGGUGACCUCAUGUUCACUUUUCCUCAUCGAAGACCCUGGCACCUGACUUCGUCAGAGACUAUGACGAUUUCCCAAAUUUACAUGCCCUAGUUCGACUAAGCACUUGUUGUUCAGUGUGACUGAACCACAACUUAGGAUAAAGCCUGUUGGUGUAUCAGAUGUAAGUUUACCUUAGAAAAAGCUCUGAAACAUCAUGGUUCACCCUCCAUAGUACUUGCCCACUCUUUGGGUAACAAUGUUUUUCGGCACUUUUUGGACUAGGUGAAGCUAGAAAUUGCCCCAAUAACAUUUGUUGACAACAACAGAAGAUUUGUGACUUUUAGUGAUGAUAAAUCUCUUCGUGUAUGGGAAUUUGGUAUUCAUGUUGUGAUACAGUACAUAAGUUGCUAUAUGUGGAUGGGAUGGAUUAAUCAUAUAUUGGUCUUUAUUUUGGCCGGUACCAUUGCUAUCACCAUAGAUCUCUUCCAACUCUUUUCCUCAACAAAGCCUCUGUUUGAGAUAGAGGAGAUGCAAGGCAAACAAAGCCUCUGUUUGACUUUGAAGGAGCGUCAACGUUCUCGCCCUUCAUCAGAUAAUGAAGCUCGAUCUUCACAGAGUUCUGCUGACAUUAAAUCAUACAUUAUAACAACUCAACUUGAUCCUGGAGUCUACAGAAAACAUGUUGAAGAUACAACAACAUCAAACUUGACAGGAUUUGCAUUUGUUGUUAUUGGCAAUUUUCAUCUUGCUGGAGGCAAAAUUACUUAAGAAAGUCUUUGGCACCAUUUAGGGCGAUUGGGGAUGUCACAAAAUGAUGAAAGGCACACUGAUUUUGGGAAUAUCAAACAGACAUUGGAAACACUUGUCUAACAAAGGCAGCUUCAGGUACUAAAGGUGGUUCAAGUGGGUCCCCAAUCAGUCUUCAAAGUCAAACAGAGCAGUGAAGAGAUUCAAAACUUCCAAGACUUUAUAAAUGUUGUAUCUAAGCUUUGUAAAGGAGGUAGGGUCCCACUGGAAUAUAUAAGCUACACAAAUCGACAUAGGAGGAAGUCUGUUUUAGUUACUGUUAAUCGACAU